rnacentral:lncRNA from 1 species
UUAUUGACUUCCAAGUAAAGAUGAAUAUUUGUGAUGGAUGACUACUCUAUUUAUAGGAUACAUUCGACUUAAAAUCUAAGCAAUUACAUUCGGGCUAAAAAUAGAGUAGUUUAAAAUCUAAGCAAAAGCGACUCUGGAGGGUGGAACGGCCGUGCCAAGCUUCUGACUUGGGGGAGACGUAUUUUUUUCUCCGAAUCUUCGUAUUUUCGUAUUCAAUCAGCUCCAAGCCCCUUUCUUUUGCUCCAAGACUCAAUCCAUCCAAUAUUCAUUCCUGAAAUAAAAUAAAAUGCAAUUUGUAGUAAACUAUCCUAAAAAGGAAAUAAUACUAAUAUAAAAUAAAAUAAAAUCUAAUUAAAACUAAACUAAAAAGCAUAUAAAAGUAAGCAAUAAAUGACUCAUCAAACUCCCCCAUACUUGAAU